rnacentral:tmRNA from 1 species
GGGGGCGAUCUAGGAUUCGACACGAUUCCGAGAGCCUGUGGAGCAUGCCGAGGUGCGGUUUGCCUCGUUAAAAAGCCGCAGCAUUAUAGAUGCAAACGACGAAAACUUCGCACUAGCAGCUUAAUACCCUGCUCAGAGCGCUCCUGCCCUAGCUUUCGCUUGUAAGACGGGGAGUAACAGGGGUUCAAACCCAAACAAGAUAGCGAGGGAAUCUUUGACUAGAGAGAUGAACCGCGAAAUAGAAUUCUAGUAUGUAUUAGCAUAGCGUGUCAGUUCGCAGUAUUAAUACAAGAUUAAAGACUGACUAAGCAUGUAGCGCCUACGGUUGUAAGAGUUGUGGACGCGGGUUCGAUUCCCGCCGCCUCCACCA